GUGAGUCCAAGAUAGAGGUAAAACCUUCAGAGGUAUCUUUCAUAUUUUGUCUUCUCGAUUACGGAUUAAUGGUUUCUAUGAACCGAUAAAGGAUCGAUUGUUGUGUUGUUUCCGCCCGCGACAUCAAAGGCCGCAAGGGAGGAAUUUGCACAUACUGUGCACAAAAAGUUCAUGUCUUCAUUGCCUGCAGUUGGGUUGUGUCUGAACCCAAACGCUGCUAAGUAAGCAGUCUUGAAAUCAACACGGCAUCUCAAACAUUUUUACUGUCAAAGUAUACAAGAAGGUUGAAUGGGAUUGAUUACCUGCUCCUAAAGAAUGCUUCGCCUGGUGAACACGCUAAACUCCGGGUACUGAUAGGCGAAAAAAGCACAUGUUGGUGACUUUAUAUAGCUUUCAUAGAAGAGACCUGGUCAUUUUAAUUACCUCACAAACCCAGGGAAAUUAGCUGGAAGGAAUCACUUGAAAUGGAUAUUGUGGCUUAAAAGCUUUUGGAUCUGGACAUGGAGUCCCUUCCUUGAACUCCAAGGAAGCCGAAAUUAGUCCACAUCACCGCUCACUGAAAUCCGACAAGGAGGAGGAGAAGGAUCGUCACGCUCUCCUACUUCUUCCACUAAUCAGGACUCUCCCGGAAACGAGAGCAUGGUCGAGUGUGUAAUGGAAGUGGUUGAAGAAAUGGAGGAGUUUUGGGGGGAGAUUCUGAACUUGCUUACCAACUAGCUGACAUACCGGAACCUCUUGUGGACGAGGGAAUUUAUGAGUGUAUAGUUUCAGGUAGCUACUGGCAAACCUAGGAAAAAGAAAUAGAUUGAUCGAGUUCUCUCCCAUCGUCGAUGCAUAGUUCUUCUCACAUUCGCUUUUCUGUGUAAUGAUUUCCACUCGAAGUCGUCGGCUCUUGUUGGAUCAUGGAAGAAAAACUUUGUGCUGAAGUUAUAGCAUCAAUGAAAAAUGACUUUAAAAAUCUUAUUUGA